ensembl:lncRNA
GUGGUGGGAGAGGUUGGUGUUGGUGGAUGUGGUGUUGGAAAUGGUGUAGGGGGAAGUGUUGGUGGAGGAAGUGGUGGAGGAAGUGGUGGUGGAGGUGGAGGAGGUGGUGGAGUAUGUGGUGGUGGAGGAGGGGAUGGUGGAGGAAGUAGUUGUGUUAGAGGAAGUGGUGGAGGUGGAGGAAGUGGUGGUGGAGGUGGUGGAGGUAAAAAUUGUGGUGGAGGAAGUGGUGGUGGAGGAAGAGGAGGUGUUGGAGGGAAUGGUGGUGGAAGUGGUAGAGGAUGUGGUGGGGGAAGUGGUGGAGAAUGUGGUGGUAUAGGAGGUGGUGGAGGAGGUGAUGGAGGAAAGAGUGGAGUUGGUGGUGGUGGUGGUGGUGGAGGUUGAAGUGGUGGUGGUGGGGGUUGUGGAG